UACGUAGGGUGCGAGCGUUAAUCGGAAUUACUGGGCGUAAAGCGUGCGCAGGCGGUUUUGUAAGUCAGAUGUGAAAUCCCCAGGCUCAACCUGGGAACUGCGUUUGAAACUGCCGGUCUUGAGUAUCGGAGAGGGUGGCGGAAUUCCUGGUGUAGAGGUGAAAUUCGUAGAUAUCAGGAGGAACACCGGUGGCGGAAGGCGGCCACCUGGACGAUUACUGACGCUGAGACGCGAAAGCGUGGGGAGCAAACAGG
rnacentral:rRNA from 1 species